rnacentral:lncRNA from 1 species
CAUCGCUGUAAAUUCCUUCAAUAUUAACAAAAGGAUGAUAAUAAUGUUAAUUUUAAUGAUGACCAUAACAAUGGUGAUGACGAUGAUGAAGAUGAUGAAGAUUUUUGAUGGUGAUUGUUUUUUUUUAUUGUAUUGAUGAUAUUGUGUAAAUACAACAUGUCUCUCCACUGCAGUCCUAAUCUCGGAUCAACACAGAGCUAAAAUAUUGGACUAAAAUAUUGCUGAUGAUUAAUGAUGAUUCAGGGUUAAUUAAUUAGAUGAUUAAGUUCUGAGGGGACGUGUUAGAAAACAAACGAGAAGCGGAAGCAGGGCUGUAGCUCCACCCAGCUUCUUUUUUUUUUCAAAUUAGGGGAGAGUCGAUGUGCCAAAUGUCCCCUCCACUUCUGAAAUGUGCAAUAUGUGAACACAUCAUGAUUUGUCCAAAUGAUAUGUGCACCGGAAACAAAGUUCCUCGUUAGUCGGCGCAUCCCACAGUCUGUUGACAGAUGCUACGAUAUCAGUUAUGUUAUCCCACAGUCUGUUGACAGACACUACGAUAUCAGUUAUGUUAUCCCACAGUCUGUUGACAGACACUACGAUAUCAGUUAUGUUAUCCCACAGUCUGUUGACAGACACUACGAUAUCAGUUAUGUUAUCCCACAGUCUGUUGACAGACACUACGAUAUCAGUUAUGUUAUCCCACAGUCUGUUGACAUACGCUACGAUAUCAGUUAUGUUAUCCCACAGUCUGUUGACAUACGCUACGAUAUCAGUUAUGUUAUCCCACAGUCUGUUGACAGACGUUAUGAUAUCAGUUAUGUUAUCCCACAGUCUGUUGACAGACACUACGAUAUCAGUUAUGUUAUCCCACAGUCUGUUGACAGACGUUAUGAUAUCAGUUAUGUUAUCCCACAGUCUGUUGACAGACACUAUGAUAUCAGUUAUGUUAUCCCACAGUCUGUUGACAGACACUACGAUAUCAGUUAUGUUAUCCCACAGUCUGUUGACAUACGCUACGAUAUCAGUUAUGUUAUCCCACAGUCUGUUGACAGACACUAUGAUAUCAGUUAUGUUAUCCCACAGUCUGUUGACAGACGUUAUGAUAUCAGUUAUGUUAUCCCACAGUCUGUUGACAGACGCUAUGAUAUCAGUUAUGUUAUCCCACAGUCUGUUGACAGACGUUAUGAUAUCAGUUAUGUUAUCCCACAGUCUGUUGACAGACGUUAUGAUAUCAGUUAUAUUAACCCACAGUCUGUUGACAGACGCUAUGAUAUCAGUUAUGUUAUCCCACAGUCUGUUGACAGACGUUAUGAUAUCAGUUAUGUUAUCCCACAGUCUGUUGACAGACGCUAUGAUAUCAGUUAUGUUAUCCCACAGUCUGUUGACAGACACUACGAUAUCAGUUAUGUUAUCCCACAGUCUGUUGACAGACGCUAUGAUAUCAGUUAUGUUAUCCCACAGUCUGUUGACAGACACUACGAUAUCAGUUAUGUUAUCCCACAGUCUGUUGACAGACACUACGAUAUCAGUUAUGUUAUCCCACAGUCUGUUGACAGACGCUACGAUAUCAGUUAUGUUAUCCCACUGUCUGUUGACAGACGCUAUGAUAUCAGUUAUGUUAACCCACAGUCUGUUGACAGACACUAUGAUAUCAGUUAUGUUAUCCCACAGUCUGUUGACAGACGCUAUGAUAUCAGUUAUGUUAACCCACAGUCUGUUGACAGACGUUAUGAUAUCAGUUAUGUUAUCCCACAGUCUGUUGACAGACACUACGAUAUCAGUUAUGUUAUCCCACAGUCUGUUGACAGACACUACGAUAUCAGUUAUGUUAUCCCACAGUCUGUUGACAGACACUACGAUAUCAGUUAUGUUAUCCCACAGUCUGUUGACAGACGCUACGAUAUCAGUUAUGUUAUCCCACAGUCUGUUGACAGACGCUAUGAUAUCAGUUAUGUUAACCCACAGUCUGUUGACAGACACUAUGAUAUCAGUUAUGUUAUCCCACAGUCUGUUGACAGACACUACGAUAUCAGUUAUGUUAUCCCACAGUCUGUUGACAGACGCUAUGAUAUCAGUUAUGUUAACCCACAGUCUGUUGACAGACGCUAUGAUAUCAGUUAUGUUAACCCACAGUCUGUUGACAGACACUAUGAUAUCAGUUAUGUUAUCCCACAGUCUGUUGACAGACGCUACGAUAUCAGUUAUGUUAUCCCACAGUCUGUUGACAGACGCUACGAUAUCAGUUAUGUUAUCCCACAGUCUGUUGACAGACACUACGAUAUCAGUUAUGUUAACCCACAGUCUGUUGACAGACGCUACGAUAUCAGUUAUGUUAACCCACAGUCUGUUGACAGACACUACGAUAUCAGUUAUGUUAACCCACAGUCUGUUGACAUACGCUAUGAUAUCAGUUAUGUUAUCCCACAGUCUGUUGACAGACGCUACGAUAUCAGUUAUGUUAUCCCACAGUCUGUUGACAGACACUACGAUAUCAGUUAUGUUAACCCACAGUCUGUUGACAGACACUACGAUAUCAGUUAUGUUAACCCACAGUCUGUUGACAUACGCUACGAUAUCAGUUAUGUUAUCCCACAGUCUGUUGACAGACGCUACGAUAUCAGUUAUGUUAUCCCACAGUCUGUUGACAGACACUACGAUAUCAGUUAUGUUAUCCCACAGUCUGUUGACAUACGCUAUGAUAUUAGUUAUGUUAACCCACAGUCUGUUGACAGACGCUAUGAUAUCAGUUAUGUUAACCCACAGUCUGUUGACAGACACUACGAUAUCAGUUAUGUUAACCCACAGUCUGUUGACAUACGCUACGAUAUCAGUUAUGUUAUCCCACAGUCUGUUGACAGACGCUACGAUAUCAGUUAUGUUAUCCCACAGUCUGUUGACAGACACUACGAUAUCAGUUAUGUUAUCCCACAGUCUGUUGACAGACGUUAUGAUAUCAGUUAUGUUAUCCCACAGUCUGUUGACAGACGCUAUGAUAUCAGUUAUGUUAUCCCACAGUCUGUUGACAGACGUUAUGAUAUCAGUUAUGUUAUCCCACAGUCUGUUGACAGACGCUAUGAUAUCAGUUAUAUUAACCCACAGUCUGUUGACAGACGCUAUGAUAUCAGUUAUGUUAACCCACAGUCUGUUGACAGACACUACGAUAUCAGUUAUGUUAACCCACAGUCUGUUGACAUACGCUACGAUAUCAGUUAUGUUAUCCCACAGUCUGUUGACAGACGCUACGAUAUCAGUUAUGUUAUCCCACAGUCUGUUGACAGACACUACGAUAUCAGUUAUGUUAUCCCACAGUCUGUUGACAGACGUUAUGAUAUCAGUUAUGUUAUCCCACAGUCUGUUGACAGACGCUAUGAUAUCAGUUAUGUUAUCCCACAGUCUGUUGACAGACGUUAUGAUAUCAGUUAUGUUAUCCCACAGUCUGUUGACAGACACUACGAUAUCAGUUAUGUUAUCCCACAGUCUGUUGACAGACGCUAUGAUAUCAGUUAUGUUAUCCCACAGUCUGUUGACAGACGUUAUGAUAUCAGUUAUGUUAACCCACAGUCUGUUGACAGACGCUAUGAUAUCAGUUAUGUUAACCCACAGUCUGUUGACAGACGCUAUGAUAUCAGUUAUGUUAUCCCACAGUCUGUUGACAGACGCUAUGAUAUCAGUUAUGUUAACCCACAGUCUGUUGACAGACGUUAUGAUAUCAGUUAUGUUAACCCACAGUCUGUUGACAGACACUAUGAUAACCCACAGUCUGUUGACAGACGCUACGAUAUCAGUUAUGUUAACCCACAGUCUGUUGACAGACGCUACGAUAUCAGUUAUAUUAACCCACAGUCUGUUGACAGACGCUAUGAUAUCAGUUAUGUUAGCCCACAGUCUGUUGACAGACAUUAUGAUAUCAGUUAUGUUAUCCCACAGUCUGUUGACAGACACUAUGAUAUCAGUUAUGUUAUCCCACAGUCUGUUGACAGACGCUAUGAUAUCAGUUAUGUUAACCCACAGUCUGUUGACAGACGCUAUGAUAUCAGUUAUGUUAACCCACAGUCUGUUGACAGACGCUAUGAUAUCAGUUAUGUUAACCCACAGUCUGUUGACAGACAUUAUGAUAUCAGUUAUGUUAUCCCACAGUCUGUUGACAUACGCUAUGAUAUCAGUUAUGUUAACCCACAGUCUGUUGACAGACGCUAUGAUAUCAGUUAUGUUAACCCACAGUCUGUUGACAGACAUUAUGAUAUCAGUUAUGUUAUCCCACAGUCUGUUGACAUACGCUAUGAUAUUAGUUAUGUUAACCCACAGUCUGUUGACAGACAUUAUGAUAUCAGUUAUGUUAUCCCACAGUCUGUUGACAGACGCUAUGAUAUCAGUAAUGUUAUCCCACAGUCUGUUGACAGACGCUAUGAUAUCAGUUAUGUUAUCCCACAGUCUGUUGACAGAUGCUAUGAUAUCAGUUAUGUUAUCCCACAGUCUGUUGACAGACACUAUGAUAUCAGUUAUGUUAUCCCACAGUCUGUUGACAGACGCUAUUAUAUCAGUUAUGUUAUCCCACAGUCUGUUGACAGACGCUAUGAUAUCCCACAGUCUGUUGACAGACGCUAUGAUAUCCCACAGUCUGUUGACAGACGCUAUGAUAUCCCACAGUCUGUUGACAGAUGCUAUGAUAUCCCACAGUCUGUUGACAGACGCUAUGAUAUCCCACAGUCUGUUGACAGACGUUAUGAUAUCAGUUAUGUUAUCUGUGUUUGUCCACUAGAGACUGCAGUCCUAACCACCGUCAGCAGCUCAGGGUUAGGGUGGACAGUAGAGUGA